GGAAAAAUACCUUAUGAAAAUUCAGUCAUUUGCUUUUUUUGGAAUUUGUUUCUGUUUGGUUUUAUUUUUGGCUUUGCCUCCUCCUUGGGGAGUUCAGUUUCGAGGCUGACAUUAAAAGGAUGGUAUGAAGGAUCCCACCAAACUGUCAGAGGCAAGGAAGUGAGGGGCUGCUUCUGGGUCAGGCGAAGCUGCUGUGCAGUGGGAGUUUGAGUGGCCUGACGGGGCGGGGAGAAGCAGGGGUUGAUGGCACGGAGGAGAGGGGAGGGGGAGGGGUGCACAUGAACCAGGGCAGAGGGAAGAGGAGGGUUGCUAGGCAACGUCCGGGGGCAGAGGAGAGCAGUCUAGGGGAGGAGGUGCUUUCCAGAGAGCCACUUUUUGCCGUGGGUGGCUCCGUGUGGCCAGAACAGCCCAGAGGUGGGUCACACCGAGCUGACAGCCUGUUCCCCCGAGCUGCUUCCUGCCACAAUCAGCAGCCGGGAGGGGCCAGGGUACCAGCCCCAGGAGUGUGGCCAGCAGUCUGGGCAGCAGCUGGGAUGCAAAAUGAAGACGAGAGCUGUUUACUCUACAAUUCGUGCCACGGAGGAGGUAAAGCCUGGCUGGUGGGGCCAGGAGUUGUGGCUGCAAAAUGCAUCCACGGAGAAGGCAGCGGGCACAGGCACGGAGUGGCUUGCUGGGAGGGGCAAAGGUCAUUCCAGCCUGAUCCUUGGCCCUUCCCCCUGUGGUGGGAGAAGGACCUAGACCUGGGCGUUGCUGACCACCUACAGCAACAGGGUGGGGAACAAAGCCUCCUCGGUGACAGCACAGCGGCAGAGCCUGGUUCAGAGCUGUGAGACCUGCCAUGACGUGACCUUGGGGAAGUCCCUGAACCUCACGCUGUACAACACGGAUGAUGGUGGCUCCUCCGUCACCCGGUUGCCAUGAGAACUGAACCCGCGGACGUGGGGAGGGCUGAGAGUUCGCCUAAUAAAGGUCUGUGAGCAAGUUCUAAAGAGACAAGGCCCGGGCCAGUGUCCAACGUGGCCCGAGUGCCUUCCAUACCCUCGUGUCAACAGGACCUCUGCCAGAAGAUGCCCGUGGUGCUAGGAACCACUUACUUCCCAGAUUCCUGGAUGCCACGAGGUGAGCAGCCUCCUCCACCACGUGCUCUGGUCACGAUGUGCCAAAGCAAUGGGGCAACUGACAUUGGACUAAAACCUCCAAAACUAUGAGUCAAAAUAAACCUUUUAUCUUUUUAAA